GGAUGUGAGGGCGAUCUGGCUGCGACAUCUGUCACCCCACUGAUCGCAGGGUUGAUUUGGCUGAUCUGGCUGGCUAGGCUGGUGUCCCCUUCCUCCCUCACUGCUCCAUGUGCGUCCCUCCCAAAGCUGUGCGCUUGGUCGAAGAGGACGGCCUUCCCUAAAUAGAGACGGACCUGUCUUCCAUCGAGGGUAUACGAGUAGCUGCGUGCUCCCCUGCUAGAACCUCCAAACAAGCUCUCAAAGAAUGUGUGAUGAAAGAUGGCAGACCGGCAUGCUUAAUUUUAUAUUCACCAAGGUCCCACUAAAAUGAUGAUAAUGACAUUUAAAAAGUGAUAAAUAUGAACAGUAUGGAGAAUCCU
ensembl:misc_RNA 7SK 7SK RNA